GUUUCUGUAGUGUAGUGGUUAUCACGUUUGCCUAACAUGCAAAAGGUCCCUGGUUCAAGACCGGGCAGAAACA